rnacentral:rRNA from 1 species
AUUGAACGCUGGCGGCAGGCCUAACACAUGCAAGUCGAACGCGUCGCGGACGGGUGAAUAGUGUCUGGGACACUGCCUGAUGGAGGGGGAUAACUACUGAAAAGGGGAGCUAAUACCACAUACCAUCAUAUAUGCCCAUAUGGGAUUAGCUAGUUGGUGGGGUAACGGCUCACCAAGGCGACGAUCCCUAGCUGGUCUGAGGGGAUGACCAGCCACACUGGAACUGAGACACGGCCCAGACUCCUACGGGAGGCAGCAGUGGGGAAUAUUGCACAAUGGGCGCAAGCCUGAUGCAGCCAUGCCGCGUGUAUGAAGAAGGCCUUCGGGUUGUAAAGUACUUUCAGCGGGGAGGCGUUACCCGCAGAAGAAGCACCGGCUAACUCCGUGCCAGCAGCCGCGGUAAUAC